GACGAACGCUGGCGGCGUGCUUAACACAUGCAAGUCGAACGGAAAGGCCCUGCUUGCAGGGUACUCGAGUGGCGAACGGGUGAGUAACACGUGGGUGAUCUGCCCUGCACUUCGGGAUAAGCCUGGGAAACUGGGUCUAAUACCGGAUAGGAGCCAUUUUUAGUGUGAUGGUUGGAAAGUUUUUUCGGUGUAGGAUGAGCUCGCGGCCUAUCAGCUUGUUGGUGGGGUAAUGGCCUACCAAGGCGGCGACGGGUAGCCGGCCUGAGAGGGUGGACGGCCACAGUGGGACUGAGAGACGGCCCAGACUCCUACGGGAGGCAGAAGUGGGGAAGAUUGCACAAUGGGAGCAAGCCUGAUGCAGCGACGCCGCGUGGGGGAUGACGGCCUUCGGGUUGUAAUCUCAUUUCGCUAGGGACGAAGCUUUUUGUGACGGUACCUAGAGAAGAAGCACCGGCUAACUACGUG
rnacentral:rRNA from 1 species